rnacentral:rRNA from 1 species
UACGUAGGGGGGCAAGCGUUGUCCGGAUUUAUUGGGCGUAAAGCGCGCGCAGGCGGUCCUUUAAGUCUGAUGUGAAAGCCCACGGCUCAACCGUGGAGGGUCAUUGGAAACUGGGGGACUUGAGUACAGAAGAGAAGAGUGGAAUUCCACGUGUAGCGGUGAAAUGCGUAGAGAUGUGGAGGAACACCAGUGGCGAAGGCGACUCUUUGGUCUGUAACUGACGCUGAGGCGCGAAAGCGUGGGGAGCAAACAGG